CCUACGGGGUGCAGCAGUGAGGAAUAUUGGUCAAUGGACGAGAGUCUGAACCAGCCAAGUAGCGUGAAGGAUGACUGCCCUAUGGGUUGUAAACUUCUUUUAUAUGGGAAUAAAAUGUUCCACGUGUGGGAUUUUGUAUGUACCAUAUGAAUAAGGAUCGGCUAACUCCGUGCCAGCAGCCGCGGUGAUACGGAGGAUCCGAGCGUUAUCCGGAUUUAUUGGGUUUAAAGGGAGCGUAGGUGGAUUGUUAAGUCAGUUGUGAAAGUUUGCGGCUCAACCGUAAAAUUGCAGUUGAAACUGGCAGUCUUGAGUACAGUAGAGGUGGGCGGAAUUCGUGGUGUAGCGGUGAAAUGCUUAGAUAUCACGAAGAACUCCGAUUGCGAAGGCAGUUCACUGGACUGCAACUGACACUGAGGCUCGAAAGUGUGGGUAUCAAACAGGAUUAGAUACCCUAGUAGUC
rnacentral:rRNA from 1 species